GGUGCGAUGGCUGAGUGGUAAAGCGUUUGGCUUCUUAACCAGAGGUCCCGGGUUUGAAUUCUGGUGAAUCCU
rnacentral:tRNA from 1 species